CUUCCGAGAGCUUUUAGGAACACAGUGAUCUGUUGCAGCCUUGUGUAUGACUGCAGAAUCACUCACCACUACGCAAGGAGGAUAAUCAGAAGGUCAGAGUUUGGACGGAGGGUGGAAGCCUAUUAUGGAUUAAGUGCCUUUUAAAGCACUUUUCAUGCCUUGACAACUUUGGAUUGAAGAAUCUUAAGUGAAAGUAACACCAUCAUCGGGACAGGGCAAUGCCCAGGACUCAUGAACCCGGUCCACUUUGGGAGACCGUUGAGGAAAAAAAGUGAUCUAAGAUAUGACUUCAAAACUGAGAAAACAGGCUGGUGAUACAGAGCCUGCUCUUACAUUCUUGGCUCACAGGCAGAGAUGUGCCCUUCCUGAAACCCGGCAUGACCAUCACCGCUGAGUGUUGCCCGGUGCAGUGUGCAUCGUAGGUGUGUCCAUGGGCUCUCAUCCUCCAAGCAAAUAAUGCCGAAUCUGACAGUGUGUGCAAGUUAGAAGUCCCACGCUUUACUUUUUAUGACCUUGAUCAACAAAAGCAUUUGGCAUCAAUAGAAGCACAUAGUGUUGAGUUUCCAAAGGUGUUCGCCUGUGAAAUCUGCUCCCACAUUACGUCUGGACUGGUCUGUGGCUCAUGUUGACUAUAGAGCUGCUGUAAGGAUUCAAGAUAAAACACUAAACGACCCUGCUUGGCCUUCUCUGAAGAUGCUAUACAAUUAAC